AGCGAACGCUGGCGGCAGGCCUAACACAUGCAAGUCGAACGGAUCCUUCGGGAUUAGUGGCGGACGGGUGUGUAACACGUGGGAACGUGCCCUUUGGUUCGGAACAACUCAGGGAAACUUGAGCUAAUACCGGAUGUGCCCUUCGGGGGAAAGAUUUAUCGCCAUUGGAGCGGCCCGCGUCUGAUUAGCUAGUUGGUGAGGUAACGGCCCACCAAGGCGACGAUCAGUAGCUGGUCUGAGAGGAUGAUCAGCCACACUGGGACUGGGACACGGCCCAGACUCCUACGGGAGGCAGCAGUGGGGAAUCUUGCGCAAUGGGCGAAAGCAUGACGCAGCCAUGCCGCGUGAAUGAUGAAGGUCUUAGGAUUGUAAAAUUCUUUCAGCGGGGACGAUAAUGACGGUACCCGCAGAAGAAGCUCCGGCUAACUUCGUG
rnacentral:rRNA from 1 species